rnacentral:rRNA from 1 species
AGAUUGAACGCUAGCGGGAUGCUUUACACAUGCAAGUCGAACGGCAGCGCGGACUUCGGUCUGGCGGCGAGUGGCGAACGGGUGAGUAAUAUAUCGGAACGUGCCCAGUAGCGGGGGAUAACUACGCGAAAGCGUGGCUAAUACCGCAUACGCCCUACGGGGGAAAGGGGGGAUCGCAAGACCUCUCACUAUUGGAGCGGCCGAUAUCAGAUUAGCUAGUUGGUGAGGUAAAGGCUCACCAAGGCGACGAUCUGUAGCUGGUUUGAGAGGACGACCAGCCACACUGGGACUGAGACACGGCCCAGACUCCUACGGGAGGCAGCAGUGGGGAAUUUUGGACAAUGGGGGAAACCCUGAUCCAGCCAUCCCGCGUGUGCGAUGAAGGCCUCGGGUUGG